rnacentral:misc_RNA from 1 species
GAAAUGCGAUAAUUAAUGUGAAUUGCAGAAUUCAGUGAAUCAUCGAGUCUUUGAACGCACAUUGCGCCCCCUGGUAUUCCGGGGGGCAUGCCUGUCCGAGCGUCAUUGCUGCCCUCAAGCACGGCUUUUGUGUUGGGCUUCCGUCCCUGGCAACGGGGACGGGCCCAAAAGGCAGUGGCGGCACCAUGUCUGGUCCUCGAGCGUAUGGGGCUUUGUCACCCGCUCCCGUAGGUCCAGCUGGCAGCUAGCCUCGCAACCAAUCUUUUUAACCAGGUUGACCUCGGAUCAGGUAGGGAUACCCGCUGAACUUAAGC